CAUGAACUCAACUCAGGGACAUCGAGUCUGUCCACUGAUGUUUGUCGUCUCCGCCCUUCCACUUUGGGCUCUUUAUUGAUGCCAAAGCAAACGCUCUCAUGAAGGUAACCUGCCUGCAGCCUCUGAGCGUCCUCGUGAAGCAUCCCAAGUAAAACGUUAGUGUUGAUUCUUCUCACACACCUCCAACCGUCUCGCUCUCAGAGACGUGGAAACUGUCUCUCACUGUUUGCUCUGAUGAUUAAUCAGAAAUUAUCCUUUUGGAGACACGUCCACAGGCUGUGAGCUUAGAGAAUAAGAGGGAGGAGAAGAUCCACCUGGCUGUCAGACUACAGGAGGAACCGUGUUUAUUAUUUGUAGAGGUUUCAUUAGUCCGGAAUCAUGCGUCCAGCUGUGCUAACCGCUGUCCUGCUCUCGGUGCUCUUCAUCAACGCCGUGACGUCACUGAACCUCGGCAAUCUGCCGCUGCGUGAAGAGCGAGCUCUCUUCGAUGCGCCACCAGAUGUUGCGGUUCCGGUGGCUCCCGCUCCACUGAACAUGCGGGCUUCCCGAGCCGCCGACCCGAACCAGAGAAACAUUCACAAAGUUGGAGAUGAUUCUCAAUUACUCUGCAAAGGAACAGUUUGCAAUGGGUAAUGAUAAUUAGACGGGGGGGGGGGGGCUUUGUUUGAUCAUCAUCUGCUGAUGUGUUCCUUCUCUCUGUAAAGCUGCUCCGUGUUUCUAUAACCCGCCAACACGAGCUCCAAUAAACGCUUCAGCAUUCAAGCUCCUGGUGUCACUUUGUUGGGCAAUGAGGGGUCGAUGUUCACGCUGUAGAUUAAAGCACUAGAUGAUCCGUAGAUUUCGAGCCCGACACACGCGGCUCAGCGGGGGUCCCAUCGGGUCGAGUUCAGCACCACGGACAGCGACUACGGGACCUCAUUCAUUCCUCCUGUAGGACCUGAAUGGCUUUGAUGGAACCAUUUGUAAAGUGUCAUAUCCCAAUCGUUGAACUGUCUUUAAACCAGAUCCCCAAAUGGUAACACUGGUUUAAAGACAGCUCAAAGAUUGGGAUAUGACACUUUACAAAUAGGCGAUUAAUGUCUUUAAGGCUCUACGCCCUUUUACCAUAACAUUUUAAAUCGAGGCACAUUUCAUUUUGAAAUGCGGUCCACAUGACCGCAGUGGAGAGGGGUUUCACGGGCGCGGAACGUCGCGCAACCCCCCUUUGACCGGACCAACUCUAUAACACUCUAUAACAAGAGCUAAUUCAAUCCAUGUCCAGUCGUCAAGUCUGAUAUGUAGAGUGAAC
ensembl:lncRNA